rnacentral:rRNA from 1 species
AAGCUCGUAGUUGAAUUUCGAGAUCAGUACGCUGGUCGUGCCUUCGGUAUGCACUGGUGUCACUGGUUUCUCCCUUCUGAAGAACCGUCAUGUCAUUAAGUUGGUGUGGCGGGGAAUCAGGACUGUUACUUUGAAAAAAUUUGAGUGUUUAAAGCAGGCUCGCGCUUGAAUACAUUAGCAUGGAAUAAUGAAAUAGGACGUUUGACCCUAUUUUGUUGGUUUCUAGGAUCGACGUAAUGAUUAAUAGGGAUAGUUGGGGGCAUUAGUAUUCAAUUGUCAGAGGUGAAAUUCUUGGAUUUAUUGAAGACUAACUACUGCGAAAGCAUUUGCCAAGGAUGUUUUCAUUAAUCAAGAACGAAAGUUAGGGGAUCGAAGACGAUCAGAUGCCGUCGUAGUCUUAACCAUAAACUAUGCCGACUAGGGAUCGGAUGAUGUUAAUUUUUUAAUGACUCAUUCGGCACCUUACGGGAAACCAAAGUGUUUGGGUUCCGGGGGGAGUAUGGUCGCAAGGCUGAAACUUAAAGGAAUUGACGGAAGGGCACCACCAGGCGUGGAGCCUGCGGCUUAAUUUGACUCAACACGGGGAAA